UAAGGAAUAUUGCUCAAUGGGAGAAAUCCUGAAGCAGCAACGCCGCGUGGAGGAUGAAGGGUCUAUGACUUGUAAACUCCUGUAAAGAAGGAAAAAAUUCCCAUUUGAUGGGAGAUGAUGGUACUUCUGGAGUAAGCCCCGGCUAACUACGUGCAAGCAGCCGCGGUAAUACGUAGGGGGCAAGCGUUGUCCGGAUUUACUGGGUGUAAAGGGUGCUCAGGCGGAUUUGUAAGUCAGAGGUGAAAUCUUACAGCUUAACUGUGAAACUGCCUUUGAUACUGCAAGCCUAGAGUAUGGAAGAGAGUGAUGGAAUAUCUGGUGUAGCAGUGAAAUGCGUAGAUAUCAGAUAGAACACCAAUGGCGAAGGCAGUCACUUGGUCCAUUACUGACGCUAAAGCACGAAAGCGUGGGUAGCAAACA
rnacentral:rRNA from 1 species